AGCGGCAGGCUUAACACAUGCAAGUCGAGGGGUAACAGAGAGUGCUUGCACUCUGCUGACGACCGGCGCACGGGUGAGUAACGCGUAUGCAACCUACCUUUUACAGGGGAAUAGCCCAGAGAAAUUUGGAUUAAUACCCCAUAUUAUCUUUUUUUCGCAUGAAUUAAUGAUGAAAGUUUCGACGGUAAAAGAUGGGCAUGCGUCUUAUUAGUUUGUUGGUAAGGUAACGGCUUACCAAGACUUCGAUAGGUAGGGGCCCUGAGAGGGGGACCCCCCACACUGGUACUGAGACACGGACCAGACUCCUACGGGAGGCAGCAGUGAGGAAUAUUGGACAAUGGAGGAAACUCUGAUCCAGCCAUGCCGCGUGCAGGAUGAAUGCCCUAUGGGUUGUAAACUGCUUUUAUACAGGAAGAAACAUUUCCACGUGUGGGAACUUGACGGUACUGUAAGAAUAAGGAUCGGCUAACUCCGUGCCAGCAGCCGCGGUAAUACGGAGGAUCCAAGCGUUAUCCGGAAUUAUUGGGUUUAAAGGGUCCGUAGGUGGUUAUUUAAGUCAGAGGUGAAAUCCUGCCGCUUAACGGUAGAACUGCCUUUGAUACUGAUUAACUUGAGUUAUUGUGAAGUAGUUAGAAUAUGUAGUGUAGCGGUGAAAUGCAUAGAUAUUACAUAGAAUACCGAUUGCGAAGGCAGAUUACUAACAAUAUACUGACACUGAGGGACGAAAGCGUGGGUAGCGAACAGGAUUAGAUACCCUGGUAGUCCACGCCGUAAACGAUGGUCACUAGCUGUUUGAUUAACAUUGGUUAAUUAAGUGGCUAAGCGAAAGUGAUAAGUGACCCACCUGGGGAGUACGCU
rnacentral:rRNA from 1 species